CAGGAAGUUCCCAUCAUGGCUCAGUGGAAACGAAUCUGACUAGCAUCCAUGAGGACCCAAGUUCGAUCCCUGGCCUCGCUCAGUGGGUUAAGGAUCCCAAGGCGUUGCCGUGAGCUGUGGUGUAGGUCACAGAUUCGGCUCAGACCCUGCAUUGCUGUGGCUCUGGCGUAGGCUGGCAGCUACAGCUCUAAUUUGACCCCUGGCCUGGGAACCUCCAUAUGCCGUGGGUGCAGCCCUAAAAAGACAAACAAACAAACCAAAAAAAACUGCAUUCAUUGUGGUUCUAGGCGUUUUGUCACUUCCUCAAUUUAAUCUUCACAAUCGAGCUCUUAGAUCGUUACAAUGACUGUCCUCAUUUUACAGAUGAACAAACUGAGGCUCAGAGGGCUUUGCUCCUGUGACCAUUCGUAAGGGGAGAAGCUACGACACGGCUCCAAUCUGUCUAAUUCCAGAGUUCACACGCUUGUAACCACCACCCCUUCAUGGCUGCCACAAGAACGAGUGAAAACCUGUGGGAAAAGUGCAAAGGCAGUUAAUUUGUGGCGUGAGAGCACAGGAAACUCAGCUCUCAGAACGGGCUUCAGGAGAAGGCCGGAAGCCUGCAGCAACGUUUUGAAUUGAAGGCGGGGGCUCUGAGACACCCAGAGCCUGAGUCGCUGGAAACAGCAGCUGCCCCCAGGGGUCUGUAAAAGGUCAGGGUGAGGGGUGUUGCAGGAAAGGUGUCUCAGGACAGUGGGUAAAGGGCACCCCGGGGACCAAGCUCGAGAGGCCCCUCAGAGGCCGCUGGGGGUCCAUCCAUACACCAAGGAAGGUGCGGGGCAAGGCAAGCUUCCGCACCGAGCCGGGGUCUCUCCUGGCACAGCUGUCAGUGCCUCCGGUCACUUCCUGCACCCAGCAGGCACCCGUUUGGAGGAUGUUUCCAGCUCCUUUGCCAUUGAGCUGGUAGAGCAUGAGAAGAAGCAACCUGUGUCUCUUCUGAGCUGAGGAUGUUGAGAAGCAGAUGUGCCCCAUCCACCUCUCCGCCCCCUGCCUUGACCUCUUGCUCUAGAAGAUGGCACAGCCGCAGAUGGAAAGAGCCAGGGGGCCUCUCCACCCAGAGGCAGGCCACCUGCCAAUCAGAGCGC
rnacentral:lncRNA from 1 species